rnacentral:lncRNA from 1 species
UUAAGAUUUCAUCUAUGUUGACAUGGAUUUGCGAGUUGAAUUCAAAGACUAAAAGAAAGCUGGAUUUGGCAAAUUCAGCGACUGGAAAGAUGAGCGACUUGGGAAAGAAGAAUAUUUGCUGCUCUUACCAAGGAAUAGAAUUCAGCUCCCAGCACACACACACAGUACAUCACACACUGCAGCUCCAUCUUACGUGGAAUAGG